rnacentral:rRNA from 1 species
UACGUAGGGCGCAAGCGUUGUCCGGAAUUAUUGGGCGUAAAGAGCUCGUAGGCGGCCAGUUGCGUCUGCUGUGAAAUCCCGGGGCUCAACCCCGGGCGUGCAGUGGAUACGGGCUGGCUAGAGGCAGGCAGGGGAGAACGGAAUUCCCGGUGUAGCGGUGAAAUGCGCAGAUAUCGGGAGGAACACCGGUGGCGAAGGCGGUUCUCUGGGCCUGUACUGACGCUGAGGAGCGAAAGCGUAGGGAGCGAACAGG